GUAGGGAAUAUUGCGCAAUGGGGGAAACCCUGACGCAGCGACGCCGCGUGAGUGAUGAAGGCCUUCGGGUCGUAAAGCUCUGUUGCAGGGGAAUAAAAAAAUGAAGGUACCCUGUGAGGAAGGAUCGGCUAACUUCGUGCCAGCAGCCACGGUAAGACGAGGGAUCCUAGCGUUGCUCGGAAUCAUUGGGCGUAAAGAGGGCGUAGGUGGCUUGGUAAGUCAGGUGUGAAAGCCCAGGGCUCAACCCUGGAAGUGCAUUUGAUACUGCUGAGCUUGAGUGUCGGAGAGGUUACCGGAAUACCUGGUGUAGUGGUGAAAUACGUAGAUAUCAGGUGGAACACCGGAGGCGAAGGCGGGUAACUGGACGAACACUGACACUGAGGCCCGAAAGCGUGGGGAUCAAACAGGAUUAGAAACCCGAGUAGUCC
rnacentral:rRNA from 1 species